CUCCCAAACCCCUGUGAACAUACCUUAAUGUUGCCUCGGCGGAUCAGCCCGCGCCCUGUAAAACGGGACGGCCCGCCAGAGGACCCAAACUCUAAUGUUUCUUAUUGUAACUUCUGAGUAAAACAAACAAAUAAAUCAAAACUUUCAACAACGGAUCUCUUGGUUCUGGCAUCGAUGAAGAACGCAGCAAAAUGCGAUAAGUAAUGUGAAUUGCAGAAUUCAGUGAAUCAUCGAAUCUUUGAACGCACAUUGCGCCCGCUGGUAUUCCGGCGGGCAUGCCUGUUCGAGCGUCAUUUCAACCCUCAAGCCCCCGGGUUUGGUGUUGGGGAUCGGCUCUGCCCUUCUGGGCGGUGCCGCCCCCGAAAUACAUUGGCGGUCUCGCUGCAGCCUCCAUUGCGUAGUAGCUAACACCUCGCAACUGGAACGCGGCGCGGCCAUGCCGUAAAACCCCAACUUCUGAAUGUUGACCUCGGAUCAGGUAGGAAUACCCGCUGAACUUAAGCAUAUCAAUAAGCGGAGGAAAAGAAACCAACAGGGAUUGCCCUAGUAACGGCGAGUGAAGCGGCAACAGCUCAAAUUUGAAAUCUGGCUUUCGGGCCCGAGUUGUAAUUUGUAGAGGAUACUUUUGAUGCGGUGCCUUCCGAGUUCCCUGGAACGGGACGCCAUAGAGGGUGAGAGCCCCGUCUGGUUGGAUGCCAAAUCUCUGUAAAGUUCCUUCGACGAGUCGAGUAGUUUGGGAAUGCUGCUCUAAAUGGGAGGUAUAUGUCUUCUAAAGCUAAAUAUUGGCCAGAGACCGAUAGCGCACAAGUAGAGUGAUCGAAAGAUGAAAAGCACUUUGAAAAGAGAGUUAAAAAGUACGUGAAAUUGUUGAAAGGGAAGCGUUUAUGACCAGACUUGGACUUGGUUAAUCAUCUGGGGUUCUCCCCAGUGCACUUUUCCAGUUCAGGCCAGCAUCAGUUUUCGCCGGGGGAUAAAGGCUUCGGGAAUGUAGCUCUCUUCGGGGAGUGUUAUAGCCCGUUGUGUAAUA
rnacentral:rRNA from 1 species